UGCCCAUUGGCCCAGUGGUUAAGGCGUCUGACUGUUAUUUCUUCACAUUCAAAAAGAGUGAUAGCAGAAAAAUCAGAAGAUCCCUGGUUCGACCCCAGGAUGGGCAG